GGCGAGGGCGAGACCGGCGUAGAGACGGAGAGCGCCGGCGCCGGCGCCGUCCCCGACGGGGAGCUCGCGGGCGGCGGCCCCGACGUCUGCGGCGGCGGCGCCGCCGGGGACGCGGGGUCGUUGGACCGGUGCUGCCACCUGAUCUUACUCUUGAACAGGCUCUUCAUCCCUCCAGGCUCCCCGCUAGCUCGGUGGCUAGGGUUUGCUUGCGUCGAGCGUUUCCGCGUCCCGGUCGGCGAAGGGGAGACGACGACUCGUGACGAGGAAGCGACGGGCGAGGGGGUGGAAGCGGGGAGGAGGUGGGGACUGGCCCGACUGGGGAUGGGGGGGCACGGGAGGAGUG
rnacentral:misc_RNA from 1 species